GAUGAACGCUGGCGGCGUGCCUAAUACAUGCAAGUCGAGCGAACGGACGAGGAGCUUGCUCCUCUGACGUUAGCGGCGGACGGGUGAGUAACACGUGGAUAACCUACCUAUAAGACUGGGAUAACUUCGGGAAACCGGAGCUAAUACCGGAUAAUAUAUUGAACCGCAUGGUUCAAUAGUGAAAGACGGUUUUGCUGUCACUUAUAGAUGGAUCCGCGCCGCAUUAGCUAGUUGGUAAGGUAACGGCUUACCAAGGCAACGAUGCGUAGCCGACCUGAGAGGGUGGUCGGCCACACUGGAACUGAGACACGGUCCAGACUCCUACGGGAGGCAGCAGUAGGGAAUCUUCCGCAAUGGGCGAAAGCUUGACGGAGCAACGCCGCGUGAGUGAUGAAGGUCUUCGGAUCGUAAAACUCUGUUAUUAGGGAAGAACAAAUGUGUAAGUAACUAUGCACGUCUUGACGGUACCUAAUCAGAAAGCCACGGCUAACUACGUG
rnacentral:rRNA from 1 species